rnacentral:rRNA from 1 species
AGGACGAACGCUGGCGGCGUGCCUAAUACAUGCAAGUCGAACGGUCUUUCUAUGGAAGCUUGCUUCCACUGAGAAGAUAGUGGCGAACGGGUGAGUAACACGUGGGUAACCUGCCCAUAAGAGGGGGAUAACAUCCGGAAACGGGUGCUAAUACCGCAUAGUUUUCUUGAUCGCAUGAUUGAGAAAGGAAAGACGGCCUUUGUGCUGUCGCUUAUGGAUGGACCCGCGGCGUAUUAGUUAGUUGGUGAGGUAACGGCUCACCAAGACGAUGAUACGUAGCCGACCUGAGAGGGUGAUCGGCCACAUUGGGACUGAGACACGGCCCAAACUCCUACGGGAGGCAGCAGUAGGGAAUCUUCCGCAAUGGACGAAAGUCUGACGGAGCAACGCCGCGUGAGUGAAGAAAAGGUUUUCGGAUCGUAAAACUCUGUUGUCAGAGAAGAACAAGUUGGAGAGUAACUGCUCCAGCCUUGACGGUAUCUGACCAGAAAGCCACGGCUAACUACGUGCCAGCAGCGGC